AAAAAAUAAAAAGAAAAGGGAAGCAGUUUUGUUCAGUGAGUUGGCAUUAUUGCUAUUGGUUGUUUUUUUCCUUCUUCUUUGCUCUCA
rnacentral:ribozyme from 1 species